GUCUAUGAAGAGGAUUUUUUUUUUUUUCAAAUAUUUUAUUUCAGUUUUAAAACUUGAAAUUUUUUUUAGUAAAGAUCAGAACUACUCCCGUGACAACUGGCUGAGUGAAGAUGAGGUUGCAGAUAAAAAAAAAAAGCUCUCAUUAUUACCGAAAAUGCAUUGUGAAAAAGUUGAGAAAGAGAGAGAGAGAGAGAGAGAGAGAGAGAGAGAGAGGACCGUUCACUGAAAAAUUAUAGCAAUACCGUUGAGGAUUAAUGUUAAGCAGUUCAUAGUUAUACAAUUGGCGUGAAUGCAGAGAGAGAGAGAGAGAGAGAGAGAGAGAGAGAGAAGAGAAGAGAGAGAGA